UACGAAGGGGACUAGCGUUGUUCGGAAUUACUGGGCGUAAAGCGCACGUAGGCGGAUUUGUUAGUCAGGGGUGAAAUCCCGGGGCUCAACCUCGGAACUGCCUUUGAUACUGCAAGUCUCGAGUCCGAUAGAGGUGGGUGGAAUUCCUAGUGUAGAGGUGAAAUUCGUAGAUAUUAGGAAGAACACCGGUGGCGAAGGCGGCCCACUGGAUCGGUACUGACGCUGAGGUGCGAAAGCGUGGGGAGCAAACAGGAUUAGAACCCCA
rnacentral:rRNA from 1 species